AAGAUAGAGGAAAAAGAAAGAGAGACAGAGAGAGCGAAGUAUCGAUUCGGUUAGAAAGGACUGUCGUCUGAUGGCAACGACCCUCUCGAUCAUAGUCAAGUCAAAAGCGCGAGAUGUAUUUUUCAGCAUAUCGACACCGCCCGAUGUUAUUUCCGAUGACACCCGAACGAACGACGAUCCGACGUUGGUCGCCGUCUCCGUUGCUGUCGCGGUGGCGUUUCGCUUCUUUUUCGAGGAAUCCGUUGUGCGUACACGGCUCGUCGUAUCGGAAGGUUCGUAGAAAUGCACGCGACGGACGAUGAAGACUCAUCAAGGAUAUAUUGUAUACAUAUAUGAAGGAUAAAUAAUAAGGUAGCAUCGAGGAAGGUGGGAAACGCAGGUGAGGAUGGUGCAGUGCGUUGUCCAGCGGGUUUCACGAGGGGUAGCCUCUGGUCUCUCCGCUGCGGAUGAAUUCCCGCAUAUCAUUUCGGUCGACUGAUAAAAAGGCUUGGAGGCUGGCUCGUCGCAAUGGACGACGAGGCGUAUACGGACAAAAAAGCCGUUGGGAGGGGAAAAGACUCGGAGGUCGGACACACAUACAUAUAAAGACAUACAUGAAGCACACAGUAGAUACAUAAGCGCAGAGAAGGCAAAAGGGGAGGGAGAGGGAGAGAGAGAAAGAGAGUGAGCGUGAGCGAGGACGAAGCGACUGAGUGGAGAGCGUAGCUCGAGCUCGGUUGCUAAGGGGUGUAGAGACGGCGAGAGGGGGACGACGCGCUUGCCGUUGGAAGACGGGGCGGAGGGGUGCAGACGUGUACGUAAACGACGUGAAUCCGGGUAAAGGGGAGCGUCACCACCAUCGCCACCGCCACUAACGCCGUCCUCGCUGCUCUGCCGUCGCGAUGAUUUGACUCUUCUGACUCUGACUCUUUCUCCUUCUCUCUCUCUCUUUUUCUCUCUCCCUCUCUCUUUUUCUCUCUCGUCGUUGUCGUUCGUGUCCUUCGUUUAGCUCUAGCGAGCCUCUAGCGUGCUGAUUCUAGCUUGACGCUCGUGCGCGCACUCUAAGAAACUCGAUGUGCAGUCGUAUGCGCCCACUGCCAGGGCUGUAUCAUUUUCCUUUGCCACGAGUGUUCUUUGCUCUCUUUCUCUCUCUUACUCUUUAGUGUGAAAGAAAAUAGUCAUGUUCUUUGCUUUAGUCUUUUCACUACCAAACGAGAAGAGAAGGUCCAUCUUGACGAAUGUAACGAACAGUUUCCUUUCGCAGAAAAUUCGUUAGUACGUAGAAGAUAUCUGUAUGAUUACCUAUAAACGAUACGGCAUUUUGAAUAGAAUUAUGUAACAGAGUAUUAUGGUCAUAAUUAAUUCUUUGAAAUCUUUUUUCUUAUCGUAAACACGUAGGAGUGAGGUUGAAAAAGCGAAAAGAAUUGGAAGUAUCGCGACAUCAACUCGUGAUCCCUGAAUCCUCGAUGUGGCCCCGAACGGUGGUAUCUAGGGAGCUUGGAGAUCCAAUGGAAGCCAAGUCGCGUAGAAGGGAUACUAGAGUAGGAGGUGGCAGUUAUGGCGCCUGCCGUUUGCGAGGAAGAAGAAGAGACGAAGAAAGAGGAGAGAGAGACCGAGUCGAAGAGUACUACACGUGUCGCGGCGGCGGGGUGUUGACCCCAAAUAGCUUUUUUAACGUGACGUAACUGAGAAAGGGUUGAGAAAUGGCCAAGUGCUUCAGCUCGACGCGAACCGAAUGACUUUUCGAAUGAACUCUAAGCUAAGCGUCUUUGAGAGCUCUUCAUAUUUUCGAAUUAAACGAUGAUAUCGAUUUACGUUGCUCGAUUAAAAAAAAAAAAGAAAAAGGAAAAAAAGAAAAUAAACAGGAAACGAAUUUCAAUCGUCUUCCUUUAAAAGAUAAAAAAGAUAUUAAUAAAUACUAAACCGUGAACAGUUUUCACGUUCAUCCAAUUAAAGAAGACAUUAUUUUUCUUUUUUCUUUUUUUCUAACAAAGGAUACCGAAAGAGAACCUGUUUCGAAUGAAUGUUCGGUGAACAGAAACGUUAUGACUGUACAUAUUAGGUAUAUACGUUAUGGCCUUGUCGGACGAGGAACAUAGCACGAUGGAUCACAUUAAUGUUUCAGGCGAUCGUAAGCGAUGAUGCAGGCCAACGUUCGCUACAACUUAUGUAACUGUAGCUUAUGUGUACAAAUACUAUAUAUAUUUGUAACUUAUGUUCUACGAAUGAUUUUUGAAAGGAUAGCCAAAAUAAAAUCUAAAUUUUGAAGAUUA